UACGUAGGGUGCAAGCGUUGUCCGGAAUUACUGGGCGUAAAGCGCACGUAGGCGGUCUUUUAAGUCGGGGGUGAAAUCCUGGAGCUCAACUCCAGAACUGCCUUCGAUACUGGAAGACUUGAGUCCGGGAGAGGUGAGUGGAACUGCGAGUGUAGAGGUGAAAUUCGUAGAUAUUCGGAGGAACACCAGUGGCGAAGGCGGCUCACUGGCUCGUAACUGACGCUCAGGCGCGACAGCGUGGGGAUCAAACAGG
rnacentral:rRNA from 1 species